CGGUUCCUACGGGGGGCAGCAGUGGGGAAUAUUGCACAAUGGGGGAAACCCUGAUGCAGCGACGCCGCGUGAGUGAAGAAGUAAUUCGUUGCGUAAAGCUCUAUCAGCAGGGAAGAAAUACUGACCUUACGGUCAGCAGACGGUACCUGAGUAAGAAGCCCCGGCUAACUACGUGCCAGCAGCCGCGGUAAUACGUAGGGGGCAAGCGUUAUCCGGAUUUACUGGGUGUAAAGGGAGCGUAGGUGGCAGGGCAAGUCAGAUGUGAAAACCCGGGGCUCAACUCCGGGAGUGCAUUUGAAACUGUC
rnacentral:rRNA from 1 species